rnacentral:rRNA from 1 species
AAACACGGACCAAGGAGUCUAACAUGUGCGCGAGUCAAUGGGGCGUCCUAACCCCAAAGGCGCAAUGAAAGUGAAGGCCGACGACACGAGGUCGGCGGAGGGAGGAUGGCGUCGCACGGCGUCGCCCGCACUCCCGGGGGGUCUCGCUCCCGGCGGGCCCGUCCCGUCCGGGUUGAGGCGCACCCAGAGCGUACACGUUGGGACCCGAAAGAUGGUGAACUAUGCCUGGCCAGGACGAAGUCAGGGGAAACCCUGAUGGAGGUCCGUAGCGAUUCUGACGUGCAAAUCGAUCGUCGGAGCUGGGUAUAGGGC